rnacentral:tRNA from 1 species
UUUAGGGAGACCUACACCCCUCAGAAAUCGAAAAGCAAACAGUUAUAUAGAUACUGAGUUGGUCUAACCUAGGUCGGUCGCAGACAUUUGCAAUAUGUUCAACGCUUUCAAACUAUGAUGAAGGUUCGAAAUGGGCUAUUAGCUCAAGUGGUUAGAGCGCACCCCUGAUAAGGGUGAGGUCCCUGGUUCGAGUCCAGGAUGGCCCACCUGAAUCAACUAAAAAGGUAAAAUGUAAAAUUAAAAAUUGAAGAUGACUUCAAGAAAUUUUUAAUUCUCUAUUUUUAAUUUUUAAUUAUUGAUGGGGGUUUAGCUCAGUUGGUAGAGCGCCUGCUUUGCAAGCAGGAUGUCAGCGGUUCGAGUCCGCUAACCUCCACCUGUGGGAAUUGCCAUUCAUAAAAAUAAAAAAUUGUGAGAGUUCCAGCAACAUGACUUUGGUGUCAGACUGCUGAGUUGAAUCUCAGCCAGAACCUUGAAAACUGCAUAGUAACGCGAAAUUAGCAGGCAGACACAGACAUUCUUUAUGAGAUGUUGAGUGAAUGCAAUCAUGUGAAACACUAAAUGAAUUGAGU